ensembl:lncRNA
GGCUCAGCGUGCCCAACACUGGGAGUCAGAAACGCGAGGGCCCAGCCACGGAAGGCUGCGCCCACAUGUCUAAGAAUUUUACUCCAUAAAGACUGGAGAGAAAGCCCCUCGUGGAAAGAAGAGCAGUCAAGAGCAUUCUGUUUUUCAGAGGACCGCCCUCAAGAGAAACCAUUCAACCAGCACCCAGACUAGUGGGCUUUAUCAGAGCCUGACCAACCUGGAGGAAGGGAAACAGCCAACUCCAGCCCUCUUCAGCGUUCCACAGAGCAAAAGGAGAAUAACUAACAGUAGCUCCUUCCACCAUUCUGUUGCUCCGGAAGGGAGGGGAGCGCUGAGAAGCAUGUGUGCAGGUCAUAGCCCAGGCCACAGUCCACCAAAAGUCUAAUAUAUAACUCCUCUCCUCUUACCACAUCUCUCCGCCACAUUCCUAAAUGCAGGCUUGCUGGAGUUCCUUCAAGAACUUUGCUUCCAGCUCGCAAGAAAAAAAUUACAAGCCAUACUGAAAAGUCAAAACCACAGUUUGAAGAGAUGGAGCAAGAAUCCAAACCAGAGUCCAAUAUGGCAGAUGGUGGAAUCACCUGGACAGCAAUUAACCCUCCUAUCUCCUUAAGACUGACACAGCAGGCAAGAUGGUUUCAAAACAAAGCAGAGGAACUACUUGUCCUACCAACAUCAAGACAUGUUCAAAAUAUAGAAACUAAGGUAGUAUGGAAUUGGUAUUGGGGUACGAAAAGAAUAAAACGUCCAGAAGUGUAACAAAUGUGGCCUUAUGUAUCACUAAUAAAUAUAAAUGGUGCUUGGACAACUGACUAUCAUGGCAAACUACUACAAAAGUUUCUCCACUCUAUGUUUCCUCAUUCAUCAUGUAACUAACGCCUUUCUUCAGAGUCUGAGGUCAGCUAUGUAACUUGCUGUGGCUCAUGAGAUGUUACCAAAAAUGACAUAUAGAGGCUUAUACAAUGGGACAUGUUCAUGCCGACAUAUGAAGUACUCUGGGGAACGAGAUGAUAAGGGAGACACGGCUUGGUGGCAGGUAGACUGGAUGAUGCAUAGUUGUACAGCCUCCCAGUUAGCAACUUCCAAUGGCAGAGAUGCCUAGGUGACUCAUGUGUGAGCUCAGGUGAGCCCAGCCUCACAGGAAUAUAAGUUAAAUAAAUCGUAAUUGUUCUAAGCCACUAAGUUUUGGGGUGGUUAGUUACUCAGCAAACCUAACUGUAACAGUUAGGAUUUCUACCCCUGGAUGCUCACCUCCUUUAAUUAAAAAAAAUAUAUAUAAGUAAAAUAGAGACUUAAAUAUGAAAAAUAAAACUUACUUUUUUUUUUUGGUACCGGGGACGGAACUCAGGACCCUGUGCUUGCGAGCCAGGCGGUGGCACCACUGAGCUAAAUCCCUGGCCCCAAAACUUACAUUUUUUGAUACAGAAAAAAGACUUCAUUCGGAGUUCUCAGGGUAGGGAGUUCUCUUCAGCAAGAUAUAAAGAUAUAAAGGAAAGGAAUUGCCACCGUAACUACAAAAAAUUUGCAUCUGAAAAGAAACUAUAAAAUUAAACAAAGAAUUAUUAUUUGGAAUACAAAAAUAAUCAAAUGGGCAAAAAUAUAAACAGGUAAUUCAAGAUGAAGAAACCUGCAUCCCUGUGUACACACAUACACACACACACACACAAAUAUAAUUUAACCUCAUUUGUAGUCAAGGAAAUGGAAAUGAGAAGCCAUUUCACAUCCAUCAAAUUGGGAAAAGUUUUUAAAUUGAGGACAUGGAUAAAGAUUCAUCCUCAUAAACAGAUGGUAAAACUAUAGAUUCACACAAUGACUUUUGAGAUCAAUUUGACAAUUUCUGGUAAAAUUCAUAAUGACCUGCCCCCCAGAUAAUAUAUACAUAAAAAUUCUCACACAUGUGCACAAGAAAGAUGCAAGAAUGAUCAGAAUACACUGUCCAGAUCCUGACAAACUAAAAUGGACCUAAAUGUCUGCUGCAGUUUGAAUGUGUUCCUCAAAAUGCCUGCGAUGGAAUAGCUGAGCGUGGGGGCACACUCCUGUAAUCCCAGCACUUGGGAAGCUGAGGCAGGAGGAUUGCCAUGAGUUUGAGGCCAGCCUGGAGUACAUAGAGAGACCGU